rnacentral:rRNA from 1 species
UACGGAGGAUCCAAGCGUUAUCCGGAUUCAUUGGGUUUAAAGGGUGCGUAGGCGGAAUGAUAAGUCAGUGGUGAAAGCCUGCAGCUUAACUGCAGAACUGCCAUUGAUACUGUCAAUCUUGAGUACAUUUGAUGUGGGCGGAAUGUGUCAUGUAGCGGUGAAAUGCUUAGAUAUGACACAGAACACCGAUUGCGAAGGCAGCUCACAAAACUGUAACUGGCGCUGAGGCACGAAAGCGUGGGUAUCAAACAGG